GAGUAAUGCUUAGGAAUUUGCCCAGUCGAGGGGGAUAACUAUUGGAAACGAUAGCUAAUACCGCAUACGCCCUACGGGGGAAAAGAGGGGACCUUCGGGCCUUCUGCGAUUGGAUAAGCCUAAGUGAGAUUAGCUAGUUGGUGAGGUAAUGGCUCACCAAGGCGACGAUCUCUAGCUGGUCUGAGAGGAUGAUCAGCCACACUGGAACUGAGACACGGUCCAGACUCCUACGGGAGGCAGCAGUGGGGAAUAUUGCACAAUGGGCGCAAGCCUGAUGCAGCCAUGCCGCGUGUAUGAAGAAGGCCUUCGGGUUGUAAAGUACUUUCAGCAGUGAGGAAGGUUCAUGCGUUAAUAGCGUAUGGAUUUGACGUUAGCUGCAGAAGAAGCACCGGCUAACUCCGUGCCAGCAGCCGCGGUAAUACGGAGGGNGCGAGCGUUAAUCGGAAUUACUGGGCGUAAAGCGCAUGCAGGUGGNUUUGNUAANUCANAUGUGAAAGCCCCAGGCUCAACCUGGGAAGGNCAUUUGAANNUGGNAAGCUAGAGUACUGUAGAGGGGGGGUANAAUUUUCAG
rnacentral:rRNA from 1 species